UAAUCGCAGUAGAAGAGUGGUAGAAGUUAACGUUUCAAAUUGGCAUUUUAAGGUGAUCAUGAUUCGAUUGGCCUUUUGCUUAAUGUUGUUAUUUUGAGUUCCGGUUAAUUUACUUCGAAAAUCGGUAUAAGAAUCAGAGUUCUCUGUGUUAGGAGUUCGACGGACAGUGUUUGCAUAUCAACAUCGCAGCGUAAAAUAAAGUAUCAUGGUACGGUCGUUUCCGGACAACGGGUUCGCCAUACGAAGCGGAAGUUGAUUCAUCCGGAACGGUUUUUUCGAUCUUCGUACAAAUCAACCAGUUUGAUUCGGUGCUGACCGUAAUUGAAAAAUUGAAAAGAUACCGAUGAGGAAAUGCGCUUCUCCUAUAUUCCAAUACCGAUGAACAUCCAAGA